rnacentral:rRNA from 1 species
UUGGAGGGCAAGUCUGGUGCCAGCAGCCGCGGUAAUUCCAGCUCCAAUAGCGUAUAUUAAAGUUGUUGCAGUUAAAAAGCUCGUAGUUGAAUUUCGGGAUCAAUUUAUCGGUCGUGCCUACGGUAUGAACUGGUACAAUUGGUUUCUCCCUUCUGACGAAGCAUGAUGUCAUUAAUUUGGUGUCGUGGGGAAUCAGGACUGUUACUUUGAAAAAAUUAGAGUGUUUAAAGCAAGCAUUAGCUUGAAUACAUUAGCAUGGAAUAAUGGAAUAGGACGUUUGAUCCUAUUUUGUUGGUUUCUAGGAUCGACGUAAUGAUUAAUAGGGAUAGUUGGGGGCAUUAGUAUUCAAUUGUCAGAGGUGAAAUUCUUGGAUUUAUUGAAGACUAACUACUGCGAAAGCAUUUGCCAAGGAUGUUUUCAUUAAUUAAGAACGAAAGUUAAGGGAUCGAAGACGAUCAGAUACCGUCGUAGUCUUAACCAUAAACUAUGCCGACUAGGGAUCGGAUGAUGUUAAUUUUUAAUGACUCAUUCGGCGCCUUACGGGAAAC